GUACCGGGGCUAAACAUAUUACCGAAGCUGUGGAUUGUCCUUUGGACAAUGGUAGGAGAGCGUUCUAAGGGCGUUGAAGCAUGAUCGCAAGGACAUGUGGAGCGCUUAGAAGUGAGAAUGCCGGUGUGAGUAGCGAAAGACGGGUGAGAAUCCCGUCCACCGAUUGACUAAGGUUUCCAGAGGAAGGCCCAUCCGCUCUGGGUUAGUCGGGUCCUAAGCUGAGGCCGACAGGCGUAGGCGAUGGAUAACAGGUUGAUAUUCU
rnacentral:ncRNA from 1 species